rnacentral:rRNA from 1 species
GACAGAGGUGCUAAGCGUUAGGCGGAAUCACUGGGCUUAAAGCGUGUGUAGGCGGAUCGUUAAGUACCUUGUGAAAUCCCACGGCUCAACCGUGGAACUGCUGGGUAUACUGGCGAUCUUGAGCCACCUAGGGGCGAGCGGAACAAGCGGUGGAGCGGUGAAAUGCGUAGAUAUCAAGUGGAACACCAGUGGCGAAGGCGAAUCCCUGGAAAAUACCUGACACUGAGGCACGAAAGCUAGGGGAGCAAACAGG